GAGAUUUUGCUGUAACGUAAACUUUUCUUAUAAAAUUUCCAGGUUUAUAAAGUGGUAUACAUUUAGUUUUCUGUACUAUUAACUACAUAAAGAUCCCAUAAAGGAUCUCAAACCCUGCAUUCCAUGUAGUACGGAUAUCAUGAGCAUCUCUGCAUUGUUGCAUUGUUGACAAAUCCUGUUUAUUUAAGUGUAAAACUACUCUGAGAGGACUCUGAUGUGGUGCUUUUAAGGAUGACAUGGAUAGAAUACAAAUACAUUCUUUGUGUGACAUAGUAAAUUCUAAAGCUGGGUGUUGUGAUCUUCCAGCCAUAGAUGUAUGCCAGACAAUUAAUUACUAUGACUUCCGAUUUCAGCAUCUAUUGAUCUUCUCUAUGGCCUUAUUUUUCAUUCCUAAAUGGCGCACAUCUCCAGGUUUGAAUUGUAAGGGCAAUGGAGGCCUGCGAAUCAGCAGUCCACAUGGUGUCUUCAUAUUAGGCUUCUCUCCAUGUAAAAUGGCACCUUACCAUUUCGCCUUGAAAGGUUUAGAUUGCCCUAAGAGCAAGGCAGAAGUUAAGGAGCAAGCGGACAUAGACGCAGCAUCCAAAGCACACAAAGGAAGGUUACCUUCAUGGUCUGCAUCUUUCCCAAAAGCGAAGACAAACAAACAGGCUGGUUUCGGCACACAUGUCAGCGAGCCGCUCUGCAGAUGAGGCCCCGGCAGCACAGUGACUUGUUCUCAUCAGAAGGCCCUGGGGACUGCAGGCGGAUUAUUAUGCGGUGUCCUGACUCAGUGGCCUGCACCUCUUCCUGGAGCCUGCAGCGGAUCCCAGAUCACCGGCAGCCUCUCUCCGCAGCGUCUCCACUGCUGGCCCUCCAAUGAUGGCGUGUAUCUGGGAACUGUACAAAGAGUGCUGAAACUCUCACUGCCAACUUUUACUGGGCAUUACAGUCAGCGGGUUCAACAGCACCAUUAAACUGUAUAACGAUCAUCUCUUUCUGAAACGGGAGCUUAUUUUAAGCUUACCUUUGGAAUCCAAUAAAAGGGAACCUUCAUGGAUUACAAAUCAUAUUUUAUACACUUUUUAUAUGGUCAUGAGCAAUGUUGUUCGUAUCAUGUAUGGAAUUAACUGCAAAGUAAUAAUGAUUUGACAUUUAAUAAUGUAUCAGUGGUACAUGCACAAUCCAAGUUUUU